AACGAUCCCGUGUUCAAACCUCAAAUUCGUUCUUGACGUAUUUGGUGAUUUCCAUUCAUUUUGUUCCUAUAAUUUUGUUGUUGUUUCUUCUCCAAUCCCUUAUUUUCCAACAGAAAUGACCUAAACAACAAAGACUUGGACAUUCAUCAAGAGUACAUAUAAUAAUAUUUCACAUCAAGCACAGGCUCUCUUGUUACUGCAUGAAGGACACUUGUAUUGCUUAAUAUGCUCGGCUCUAGCUGGUGUAAUCUUCACACGCUUGCAAUGGAACCACGUCUAGCAUACAUCACAACAGAUCCUGACAAAAUAAAUCAAAAGAACUCCUAAGAAACCAAUUUGAAGAUCUAAAUAACUGUGGGCUAGAGAAAUUACCUAUGGACUUCAUGACUAUCAAGUAAUUUGAUUAAGUUCAUACGAACUUGAUCAACCUCAUUAAUAUUCAGACCAUGGUAGCCACGUAGCCACCAGAUUUGUAAUUCACAAACAAAAAGUAAAAUUAGCUCUUAAUGGUGACUACAAUGUUUCCUUUCUGUCUACUAUCCAUCUUAUUGCAUCUGAGUUGUUGCCAAAGUGUGCACUUUCGUCGUUCAAAUAAAGAAAAGACUAACUUGUAGCCUAAUUGGAAAUUGUCCCUCCAUUAACAAAAUUGUGCUGAAUAGAGGCGAUCAAAUUGGAAUCACUUCAGCCCAUUCACAGGACUAGAUGGAUCAUCCAGUGAUUGCCUCAAUUGUAGCUUUUGAUGACCUUAAACAUGCUGUGACAACCUCAACGAUGAUGACCAGAGGCUCUAGUAGCCAACAGUUGUGGCAACAGCAGCUAAUGGAGGCUUUAGUGUGCGAAGGACGCAUGGUUGUGACAGGAAGCUGUAGCACAUGUUAGCUGCCUCAAUGUUUGCUAAUGGAGGUUGUUAAAUACCGUUAAUCAAGCCUUUGAAUGAUAAAAUUGUCACGAGCUGAACUACAACUCGCAAACAAAGCUUCAGACAAACCAACACUGGAAUUUACUCCAGCUGAAUUAAGGAAUUUAUGAUACUAAAGUCAAAGUAAAAGAUGAUGGGGACAGAUUAAAUGAUGUACAAUAAGAAUGAGAAAGGAGAGGACUGAAUUGAAUCACUUCAAUUAACAACCAAUUUGGCAGAAAAAUCAGUCUCCCUCUUCGCACAUGGCUAUAUAUAUAUUUUCCAAACACCAAAAGCAAAAGACGAUUUCUAACAAAUAACAAAAUUAUUGGAAUAAAAUAACACAGUUCCAUUUAGGACCAAACGACACCGUCUCCAUUUAAAAGUCCAUUGAUUCCUUCUUUUUCCCCUUUCUCUGGUUUCUUCUUCUGCUUCAGUCUGGUAGUUCCUGUUCCUCUAUUUCCCUAGCUACUCUUCACUUAACAACCAUCCCUCUCACUUUGAUCUUGUCCCUAAGAUCUACAAUUGGGAAAUUUAGCUUUAACCCAUUCCACAUUCUCCCAAGUUGCACUGUCAGGAGGAAGAUCUGACCAAUGAAUCAACCAUCGCUUUGUUGUGCGGAUCCGACUCUCUACCAUCCUUGAUUGUAAGAUGGAGUGUGGUUAAUGUUCUACCUAUUGGGAAUGACUAUUAAUAGGCACAUAUAGUACCGGCAUAUGUUUAUCACCUAACUUCUUUUUCAACAACGACACAGGGAAAAUUGGAUGGAAUUUUGAACCCUCACGUAGUGCCAACUGAUAUGCUAC
rnacentral:lncRNA from 1 species